AAGGGGUUGUAGCUGGCCUUUUCGUUUGAGAGGCAUUUUGUGCACACCCUGAUCAUCAUCCAUUUCAGACACCUGUGCACAUACUGUAGGUUGGUUUGUGAGGCAGGCACUUUCAUCGGUGCAGCUUUGUGAGCCUUCCUAUGUUUUUAUUAUAAACAACUGUCGUUUAAAGAAUGUUUAUUGCGUGCAACGCAUCUACAUAUACAACUUUCAGCAACGGAUCUCUUGGCUCUCGCAUCGAUGAAGAACGCAGCGAAAUGCGAUAAGUAAUGUGAAUUGCAGAAUUCAGUGAAUCAUCGAAUCUUUGAACGCAUCUUGCGCUCCUUGGUAUUCCGAAGAGCAUGCCUGUUUGAGUGUCAUGGAAUUCUCAACCUCAUUUGCUUCUGUGAAUGAGGCUUGGAUUUGGAGGUGUUUGCUGGAUUUGUAUGUUCAGCUCCUCUUGAAUUCAUUAGCUCGAGCCUUUUGCGGAUCGGCCUCAGUGUGAUAAUUAUCUACGCUGUUCUGUGAAGCAUUACACUGUGGGUUUCGGCUUCCAAUUGUCUUUGCGGACAACAAAUUUGAUCUUUGACCUCAGAUCAGGUAGGAUUACCCGCUGAACUUAAGCAUAUCAAUAAGCGGAGGAAAAGAAACUAACAAGGAUUCCCCUAGUAACUGCGAGUGAAGCGGGAAAAGCUCAAAUUUAAAAUCUGGCGGUCUUUGGCCGUCCGAGUUGUAGUCUGGAGAAGUGCUUUCCGCGCUGGACCGUGUACAAGUCUCUUGGAACAGAGCGUCAUAGAGGGUGAGAAUCCCCGUCUUUGAUACGGACUACCCGGUGCUUUGUGAUGCGCUCUCAAAGAGU
rnacentral:rRNA from 1 species